UACGUAGGGUGCGAGCGUUGUCCGGAAUUAUUGGGCGUAAAGGGCUCGUAGGCGGUUUGUCGCGUCGGGAGUGAAAACGCCGUGCUUAACACGGCGCUUGCUUUCGAUACGGGCAGACUAGAGGUAUUCAGGGGAGAGCGGAAUUCCUGGUGUAGCGGUGAAAUGCGCAGAUAUCAGGAGGAACACCGGUGGCGAAGGCGGUUCUCUGGGAAUGACCUGACGCUGAGGAGCGAAAGUGUGGGGAGCGAACAGG
rnacentral:rRNA from 1 species